UGGGAGCUGAAGAAGCUGGAGGUGGAACUUCCUGUGCAUCAGUUUCCGCCCAUUGCCUCAUGUCCUACUGCUUGGCACCACCAAGCAGAGCCUGGCUCCAGCCUCUUGACACCCUCCCUCCAGAU